GUAUUUGCAAUAAACCAGAUUUAUUGUUGAGCAAUAAUAGCAAAGGAUAGAAUGAUCAAAUGAAAAGGAAAACCUGAAAAUUCCUUUUUCCAUCAAACUAAUUGCAACAAAUGCCAAUGGCAAGAGAUUUGAGCGGGAAGGAGGGGUGCUCAGUAAUUCAAAGGAAGAACUUGGAUUUAUUUGCUGGUUUUGCUAUUGAAUCCUCCUCUAACCAAUAGCAGGACCCUGGAAAUUAUUCUUUCUUGCCCUACAUUCCAGCCUGGAUGGACUCAGAAGUUAAGAACCACACCGUAAAGAUCUAUUUCACCAGCAUCUCACCGUAAAGAUCUAUUUCACCAGCAUCUCUGUCCCCUCAUUACAGUAAGCUCUCUUCUGUCAUCUUCCUGUCUCAGAGCUCUGCUUGGAGACCAGUUGAUGAGAUCCAUACCUCUGUACCAAGCUGUGUGACAAAAGCUGUGGGUCAAGUACUGCCCAAGGAAAUUUUACAGGACAACACAGAAGACAAAGCACCAGUGAGGUUACAAAUGUCAGAAUACCUGGUUUGUUUUGGUUUGAAGAAUUUAAGGUGGGAAUCUGGAAGAAUAUUCAAGUAUUUUACUCUUGCAGGUGAAUUUCCCCCAUGUUCUUUGAGAUUCUCAUGAAUUAGGAACUGUGUGCAUCUGCACUGGACAAUUCUCAAUGUGCACACUAGGAUG
rnacentral:lncRNA from 1 species